AUGCAUGGACACAUUUCAAGCCAACAGGGUCAGGCUGGCAGCAGGCACGGAAACCGGGGAAGGAGACAAGCCAAGAAAGCUGCAUCCACAGACCUUGGAGCAGGAGAAGCAGUUGUUGGGAAGGUCUUGGAAGUUACUGAACUACCAGAUGGAAUAACUCGCAUGGAAGCUGAGAAACUUUUUGGGGAACUCUUCAAAAUUGGCGCCAAGAUCCGAUGGCUCCGGGACCCCCAGUCACAGCCCCAGCUGCGUCGUCAUGCCGUCUGCUGUGGCAGUGGGGACAGCACUGUCAACCCUGAACGCUCUAAACCCAAUGACUUGGCCUCUACAUACACUGUCUUAGCCACAUUCCCCUCCAUUUCAGCUGCACAAAAUGCACUGAAGAAACAAAUUAACUCAGUUAACAAGUUUAAGCUGAGAACAAGCAAGAAGCACUAUGACUUUCACAUUUUGGAAAGGAUUACUGGACAUCAGAGAUUCAUUGCACUUACGAACAAGGAACCUUCUUUUCAAUUUCUGUGUAAUUUGCAAGGCUGUACAAUGUGUACUGAUGCAAGCCUUUUUCAGUUCAAGAGAAUAAAUGUUUACAAAUACAGGCCUAUUUUGUCUUUGUUUUCAUGAAAAACACCUUUAUAAUCAGCAACUAUCAUAGUACAUUAUUGUUUGGUUAGACAAUUUGUUUUUAUCUUAUAUAUUUCACAACAGUUGACCACGUUAGCUCAGAUGAUUCCUAGAUAUCUUCCCGAACAUUGGUCAUCCAGAGUCACCCUGCUGGAAAAUCUUAAAAGGUGGAGUCUGCCAGCUGCAACUUGCCUUUAGCCUAAUUUGCUCCAUGCCAGAUUAUGCUGCUGUGAAACUGAAGAACACCAGGUGUUAAUCAGACUCUGUUACAGACUUGCACCCUAGAGUAUUUGCAGUCUCUCAUGGGCCCAGUGAAUGCCAAGGCUCUUUCUUAUAGUCACAGCUGCUCAAGAACCUGAGACAGGAAGAUCACUUGAGUCUAGAAGUUCAAGACUACCCUGGACAACAGAUUCUGUGUUUAAAAAAAAAAAAAAUUUCACAUUUUUGACCAGAUAUAUAAAGAACUACAGUGGUUAUGACUGGCCUGACAUAUGAACAACUUGGGUUAAUU
rnacentral:lncRNA from 1 species